CGAGCGAAGCGGGAAGAGCUCAAAUUUAUAAUCUGGCACCUUCGGUGUCCGAGUUGUAAUCUCUAGAAAUGUUUUCCGCGUUGGACCGCACACAAGUCUGUUGGAAUACAGCGGCAUAGUGGUGAGACCCCCGUAUAUGGUGCGGACGCCCAGCGCUUUGUGAUACAUUUUCGAAGAGUCGAGUUGUUUGGGAAUGCAGCUCAAAUUGGGUGGUAAAUUCCAUCUAAAGCUAAAUAUUGGCGAGAGACCGAUAGCGAACAAGUACCGUGAGGGAAAGAUGAAAAGCACUUUGGAAAGAGAGUUAACAGUACGUGAAAUUGUUGGAAGGGAAACGCUUGAAGUCAGACUUGCUUGCCGAGCAAUCGGUUUGCAGGCCAGCAUCAGUUUUCCGGGAUGGAUAAUGGUAGAGAGAAGGUAGCAGUUUCGGCUGUGUUAUAGCUCUCUGCUGGAUACAUCUUGGGGGACUGAGGAACGCAGUGUGCCUUUGGCGGGGGUUUCGACCUCUUCAC
rnacentral:rRNA from 1 species